AAGUCGUAACAAGGUUUCCGUAGGUGAACCUGCGGAAGGAUCAUUAAUAACAUAGCAAACCGAGCGUUAGCGAGGUUCUGCGAUCAAAAUUGUAUUUAAAACCCAACACUUUUGAAUCAAUAUUUUUUUAUGUAUCUUAAAUAAUAAAAGAUCACUUUCAACAACGGAUCUCUUGGUUCUC
rnacentral:misc_RNA from 1 species